rnacentral:miRNA from 13 species
UACUUGGGAGGCUGAGGCAGGGGAUUGCUUGAGCCUGGGAGGUCAAGGCUGCAGUG